UACAGAGGGUGCAAGCGUUGUUCGGAAUUAUUGGGCGUAAAGCGCGUGUAGGCGGCUUUGCAAGUCGGGUGUGAAAGCCCUCGGCUCAACCGAGGAGGUGCGCCCGAAACUGCAGAGCUUGAGUACCGGAGAGGAUGGCGGAAUUCCCCAAGUAGAGGUGAAAUUCGUAGAUAUGGGGAGGAACACCGGUGGCGAAGGCGGCCAUCUGGACGGAUACUGACGCUGAGACGCGAAAAGCGUGGGUAGCAAACAGG
rnacentral:rRNA from 1 species